rnacentral:rRNA from 1 species
AUGACGCUGGCGGUAGCUUACACAUGCAGGUUCAUGCGAGAAAGUACUUCGGGCUGCGAGUACAGCGGCGGACGGGUGACGUAACGCGUAGGAAUCUACCUAGUAGAAGGGGAUAGCCCGGGGGAAACUCGGAUUAAUACCGUCAUACCUCCUCAGGGAGAAAGAGGGCUUAGCUUUGAUGCUCUCGCUAUUAGAUGAGCCUGCGUAAAGAUUAGCUUGUUGGUGAGGUAAUGGCUCACCAAGGCGACGAUCUUUAGCUGGUCUGAGAGGACGAUCAGCCACAUUGGGACUGAGACACGGCCCAGACUCCUACGGGAGGCAGACAGUGGGGAAUAUUGGACAAUGGGCGCAAGCCUGAUCCAGCCAUACCGCGUGUGUGAAGAAGGCUUUCGGGUUGUAAAGCACUUUAAGUAAGGAGAAAAAGAUUGUAGUUAAUACCUGCAAUCCGUGAUGUUACUUACAGAAUAAGGACCGGCUAAUUCCGUGCCAGCAGCCGCGGUAAUACGGAAGGUCCAAGCGUUAAUCGGAAUUACUGGGCGUAAAGCGCGCGUAGGUGGUUUUAUUAAGUUGGAUGUGAAAGCCCUGGGACUCAACCUAGGAACUGCAUCCAAAAACUAGAUGACUAGAGUACGAAAGAGGGAAGUCGAAUUCACAAGUGUAGCGGUGGAAUGCCGUAGAUAUUGUGACGGAA